CUGAAGUUUUGUUUACUCACUUUUGAGUUUUUGUAAUUUUAAUAGACUUCUUUCAUGCUUUCAUUUUCUUAAUGACUUUUACCUCAUUUUUAAAACAAAUCCAUAGUACGAGGUUUAUUUUGAACAACUUGCAAUUCCAGGAAUGAUGGAAUAAAACAUAUGAAGUAGAAGGACUGGAACCUCCAGAAAAAACACUUUAAGUUACCUGCAAGUGAUCCUAGUCAGGUAUGUUACAGUCUUAAUGGCUUUUCAGAAAUUUGACAGAAAAUUACUAUUAAUCUCACUGGGUGUUUACAUGAAUUUUAAGCCUUUGCUUUUCUUUUAACUUUGUUUUUUUACAGGUAUGAAUUGAUAAGAAAUGCCUGCACCUUACCUCCUUCCUAUCUUUCCCUUGUCUACAGAAAAUUAAAAGGCAUAGACAAUGGACAUCUACAUAUUCUUCAUUCAGAUCAACCAGUGGCUAGCAUUUGCCACCUUUGCAUUUUCUUUCUCUUUCCGCAAAUGAAAACAGUAGCCUAA
rnacentral:lncRNA from 1 species